GAUGAAGAACGCAGCGAAAUGCGAUAAGUAAUGUGAAUUGCAGAAUUCAGUGAAUCAUCGAAUCUUUGAACGCACAUUGCGCCCCUUGGUAUUCCGAGGGGCAUGCCUGUUCGAGCGUCAUUAUAACCCCUCAAGCUCAGCUUGGUGUUGGGGCCUGCUGCACUGGCAGCCCUUAAAAUCAGUGGCGGCGCCAUCUGGCUCUAAGCGUAGUAAUUCUUCUCGCUAUGGAGUCCUGGUGGAUGCUUGCCAUCAACCCCCAAUUUUUCUAUGGUUGACCUCGGAUCAGGUAGGGAUACCCGCUGAACUUAAGUAUAUCAAUAAGCGGAGGA
rnacentral:misc_RNA from 1 species